rnacentral:rRNA from 1 species
AACGAACGCUGGCGGCAUGCCUAACACAUGCAAGUCGAACGAGACCUCCGGGUCUUGUUGCGCACGGGUGCGUAACGCGUGGGAACCUGCCCUUAGGUUCGGAAUACCUCCCCGACAGGGGUGCUAAUACCGGAUAAUGUCUUCGGACCAAAGAUUUAUCGCCUUUGGAUGGGCCCGCGUUGGAUUAGCUUGUUGGUAGGGUAAAAGCCUACCAAGGCGACGAUCCAUAGCUGGUCUGAGAGGAUGAGCAGCCACACUGGGACUGAGACACGGCCCAGACUCCUACGGGAGGGAGCAGAGGGGAAUAGUGGAAAAUGGGCGAAAGCCUGAUCCAGCAAUGCCGGGUGAGUGAUGAAGGCCGUAGGGAAGUAAAGCUCUUUUACCCGGGAUGAUAAUGACAGUACCGGGAGAAUAAGCUCCGGCUAACUACGUG